AUGGCUGUCGUCAGCUCGUGUCGUGAGAUGUUGGGUUAAGUCCCGCAACGAGCGCAACCCUCGUCCUAUGUUGCCAGCGGAUAAUGCCGGGGACUCAUAGGAGACUGCCGGGGUCAACUCGGAGGAAGGUGGGGAUGACGUCAAGUCCUCAUGCCCCUUAUGUCUUGGGCUGCAAACAUGCUACAAUGGCCAGUACAAAGGGUUGCGGGACCGCAAGGUGGAGCGAAUCCCAAAAAGCUGGUCUCAGUUCGGAUUGGGGUCUGCAACUCGACCCCAUGAAGUCGGAGUCGCUAGUAAUCGCAGAUCAGCAACGCUGCGGUGAAUACGUUCCCGGGCCUUGUACACACCGCCCGUCACGUCACGAAAGUAGGCAACACCCGAAGCCGGUGGCCUAACCCUUUUGGGAGGGAGCCGUCGAAGGUGGGAUCAGCGAUUGGGGUGAAGUCGUAACAAGGUAGCCGUACCGGAAGGUGCGGCUGGAUCACCUCCUUUCUAAGGAGCACUACUGCUCACUCGCUGUUGACAGCUGCCACGGCAGCGGUUGGAGCGAGGGAGAGCUCCCACGUCGAUCACUGGUCAGUCGGCUCGUCGAUCACUCCGACCCCGGCACCCCCCGUCAGUCCACCUCGCUUCGGCGUGGUGAGCUGGCGCACGGUGUCGGCACCACCGGAGCCCUCGAGUCGGUGCCGCGUCACUGUUCCGUUGUGAGGGAGUGGUCCCGGAUCCCCGUAUGGGGCUCGUCCGGACGCUCUCCUCGAGACCUGCGCCGUCGAGUUCCUCUGGCCGGCGUCCUCUGGACGCUGCCAUUGAAGGAAAUGCGGCUGGUCUCAACGCCCCUUGAGAACUGAAGAGCGAGCACGAGCAUCUAGAAAAGAGUGCAAGAAGUACUCCCAAGCUAUAAAGAGCCAACGGUGGAUGCCUUGGCGCCAGAUGCCGAUGAAGGACGUGGGUGGCUGCGAAAAGCCGCGGGGAGCUGUCGACCGAGCUUUGAUCCGCGGAUGUCCGAAUGGGGAAACCCGG
rnacentral:sRNA from 1 species